rnacentral:rRNA from 1 species
UGGAGCAUGUGGUUUAAUUCGACGCAACGCGAAGAACUUACCUGGGCUUGACAUCUGCGGAAUUUCUAUGAAAGUAGGAAGUGCCUUCGGGAGCCGCAAGACAGGUGCUGCAUGGCUGUCGUCAGCUUGUGUCGUGAGAUGUUGGGUUAAGUCCCGCAACGAGCGCAACCCUUAUCUUUAGUUACCAUCAUUCAGUUGGGGACUCUAAAGAUACUGCCCGGUCAACGGGGAGAAGUGGGGAUGACGUCAAGUCCUCAUGGCCCUUAUGUCCAGGGCUACACACGUACUACAAUGGCAGGUACAAAGGGCAGCCACUUAGCGAUAAGGAGCGAAUCCCGUAAAACCUGUCUCAGUCCGGAUUGGAGUCUGCAACUCGACUCCAUGAAGUUGGAAUCGCUAGUAAUCGCAGAUCAGCACGCUGCGGUGAAUACGUUCCCGGGCCUU